ncrna:unclassified sequences CyVA-1 RNA
AGGACGGCACAGGUUUUUACCGUUUCCACUGUCCUGGGCUCGACCGAAGGAGAACGGUGGCAGGCCGGGCCACGUUUC